rnacentral:rRNA from 1 species
UACGGAGGGUGCUAGCGUUGUUCGGAAUUACUGGGCGUAAAGCGCGUGUAGGCGGCCCGCUAAGUCUGAUGUGAAAGCCCGGGGCUCACCCCCGGAAGUGCAUUGGAGACUGGCGGGCUCGAGUCCCGGAGAGGAGGGUGGAAUUCCCAGUGUAGAGGUGAAAUUCGUAGAUAUUGGGAAGAACACCGGUGGCGAAGGCGGCGCUCUGGACCGAGACUGACGCUGAGGCGCGAAAGCGUGGGGAGCAAACAGG